UUAAAGUCUAUAUUUUCUAUUUCUUACAGUUUACUUCCUCGAAAAUAUGCUCACUAGCAUCCACUCAUAGACUUCCACUAUUGGGCUGUCCAGAAUUUUAAGGGUCCAGUGUCUUAGACUCCCUGGAGAGUCAACUGCCAUUAUACUGCCUCACAUUUUGAAUGUAUUAUUCCCAUGUUUGUUCUUCUUAAUCUUUUAUCAGCUGUUUCCACAAACAACUCGAGGAUUCCAAAUGUACUCGGUGUUAACGGUAGUGUAGAGAGCAAGCUUUGAAGAGAUGCUGGCCUGGGUUUAGGUUAUCACCUGCUCCACCAUUUGCCAGUGAUCUUCCUUUAGACACUCAACUUCCUCCUCUGUAUAACGGGCAUCAUUGACCUGAGGCGUGUAAAGACUUCCUAGUGUUCACUUUCGAGUGGGUGCCGUGUAAGAUGAUUUUUAAGGUGGCACUUCUCAGACUAACAGCAUCCAUCCACAGCAUUCUGGAAGUUGACAGAAAAACCAACUCUUGGUCCGUGCCUCAGAAAGACCCAAGGGUGGGUCAGAGCAGUCUGUUCUAACCAGUCUUCCAGGUAAUUCUGACGCUGGGUUGUGUCUGGGACUCGGACUGAGCACAAAGCCUGCCAAGGUGCGGGGAGGGGAGGUGAACAAUCAGCACCUUGACCUGUAGGACUUGGGCGGCGACAAAAGGCAAAGCAGUUGGGUACAGAUUUGGCUCUGGCUCCAAGCUUUUCUGCAGUGUAGCCCGCCUCACACGGUCGCUGAUUGGUGGAGUCUCAUGUGGCGGCUCGCCAAUCACCGGAGCGCAGGCACAGACGCGGUCUAGCAGAGCCAUACUCCUAUUGGUUGGAGGCCGCGCCGAGAGCCGUGCGUACGCACUGGAGAGGCGUGGCACCAGCAGCCGUUGAAAAAUGGCGACUGUUACGGAACUGAAAGCUGUUUUAAAGGACACCUUGGAAAAAAGGGGAGUGUUAGGACAUUUAAAAGCAAGGAUCCGUGCUGAAGUUUUCAAUGCCCUGGAUGAUGAUCGUGAACCCCGACCGUCUUUGUCUCAUGAGAACCUUCUAAUUAAUGAAUUAAUUAGGGAGUAUUUGGAAUUCAAUAAAUAUAAAUACACAGCCUCUGUCCUCAUAGCAGUCCUCUAUUGUAUGGAAUUUUAGCCCAUUUCUUGCGUGGUCCUCCAGAUGGAGCCCAGAAUGUGCUUCUGACAGAGUCAACCCUGCACCCGGCAACCAAGCAUCUCAGCUGGAAGCCCAGCAGAAGACCUGACGAUGACCACGUGAGGAAGGACACAGGGCCAAGAACCACAACUGAAGAGCUUCCUGCUGCUGCACAAGCAGUCAGCAGAUGAUGCGAUGCAUACACCAGGCUCAUCACCUCAGCUGUGUGUGGAGUAACCGACGUAUUAUUCCCAAUGCCAUCAAUUAGACCACCACUGCUUGUAAAUGUUUGAGUGUCUGCAUUCAGCCACUCAUGGUUUACUGCAUCUGUGGAAAGCUGAUCUGUCGUCUCGCUUGCUGGAUGCCACUGGGGAAAAUUUAUUGUUUUCAGGAUGUAUUUUUAAAGUUCUCAUUUGUGAAAUCUGAAAGGGCUUUUUAGUACUUUGUAUAGGGUUUUGUUUUGGGUUUUUUGGCCAGCUCUAAGGGCUGUUGCUAUGCUGCUGGUAAAGCACUUCCCUCCCUAUGCAAGGUCCUGGGUUCAGUCCUAGCACUGAAGAAAGAAAGCACAAGAACAGGUCUUUGUCCAUGUGCUCUGCUCAUUAAACUUUUUUCAGCUAGAAGUAUAUGGACCUAUGGGGAAAGUCAUUCAUGUUUUGAAAAAAUAUCUAAAGGAAUAUUAAAACCAGAACUUAAUUUAUAUGAAGUUUGAUUUUUUAAAAAAUACCUGAAUUAUUAUUGCCUGCCCUGGCUAGUUUUAUAUCAACUUGAUACAAGCUAGAGUCAUUUGGGGAGAGGGACUCUGAAUUGAGAAAAUCCCUCCAUCAGAUUGGCUUAUGGGCAAACCUGUAGUACAUUUUUCUUGAUUCAUGAUUGAUAUGGGAGGGUCCAGCCCACAGUGGGUGGUGUCACCCCUGGGCAGGUGAUCCUGGGUUCAGUAAGAAAGACUGAGCAAGCCAUGGGGAGCAAGCCACUAAGUAGCACUCCUCUGUGGCCUCUGCAUUAACUUCUGCCGUGAUUUCUCUCAGUGACAAACUGUGAUGUUGAACUGUAAGCUGAAAUAAACCUUCUUCUUCCCAAGUU